rnacentral:rRNA from 1 species
AUUGAACGCUGGCGGCAUGCUUUACACAUGCAAGUCGAACGGCAGCGCGGGCUUCGGCCUGGCGGCGAGUUGGGGACGGGUGGGUAAUACAUCGGAACGUGCCCAGCAGCUGGGUAUAGGUCGACGAAGGCCGGAUUAAUACCGCAUUAGACCAUACGGUGUACGGGUGGGAUCUUCGGAUCUUGGGACAUUGCACGAGUCGAUGGCGGAUUAGCGGGUUGGCGGGGUAAAGGCCUACCAAGGCGACGAUCCGUAGCUGGUCUGAGAGGAUGAGCAGCCACACUGGAACUGAGACACGGUCCAGACUCCUACGGGAGGCAGCAGUGGGGAAUAUUGGACAAAGGGCGCAAGCCUGAUCCAGCCAUACCGCGUGGGUGAAGAAGGCCUUCGGGUUGUAAAGCCCUUUUGGUGGGAAAGAAAAGCAGCAGGUUAAUACCCCGCUGUGAUGACGGUACCCAAAGAAUAAGCACCGGCUAACUUCGUG